GGUAGCGUGGCCGAGCGGUCUAAGGCGCUGGUUUUAUGCACCAGUCAUUUCGAUGGCGUGGGUUCGAAUCCCACCGCUGCCA
rnacentral:tRNA from 1 species